rnacentral:rRNA from 1 species
GUCGAGCGGUAGCACAGAGAGCUUGCUCUCGGGUGACGAGCGGCGGACGGGUGAGUAAUGUCUGGGAAACUGCCUGAUGGAGGGGGAUAACUACUGGAAACGGUAGCUAAUACCGCAUAACGUCGCAAGACCAAAGUGGGGGACCUUCGGGCCUCAUGCCAUCAGAUGUGCCCAGAUGGGAUUAGCUAGUAGGUGGGGUAACGGCUCACCUAGGCGACGAUCCCUAGCUGGUCUGAGAGGAUGACCAGCCACACUGGAACUGAGACACGGUCCAGACUCCUACGGGAGGCAGCAGUGGGGAAUAUUGCACAAUGGGCGCAAGCCUGAUGCAGCCAUGCCGCGUGUAUGAAGAAGGCCUUCGGGUUGUAAAGUACUUUCAGCGGGGAGGAAGGCGAUAAGGUUAAUAACCUUGUCGAUUGACGUUACCCGCAGAAGAAGCACCGGCUAACUCCGUGCCAGCAGCCGCGGUAAUACGGAGGGUGCAAGCGUUAAUCGGAAUUACUGGGCGUAAAGCGCACGCAGGCGGUCUGUCAAGUCGGAUGUGAAAUCCCCGGGCUCAACCUGGGAACUGCAUUCGAAACUGGCAGGCUAGAGUCUUGUAGAGGGGGGUAGAAUUCCAGGUGUAGCGGUGAAAUGCGUAGAGAUCUGGAGGAAUACCGGUGGCGAAGGCGGCCCCCUGGACAAAGACUGACGCUCAGGUGCGAAAGCGUGGGGAGCAAACAGGAUUAGAUACCCUGGUAGUCCACGCCGUAAACGAUGUCGAUUUGGAGGUUGUGCCCUUGAGGCGUGGCUUCCGGAGCUAACGCGUUAAAUCGACCGCCUGGGGAGUACGGCCGCAAGGUUAAAACUCAUAUGAAUUGACGGGGGCGCGCACAAGCGGUGGAGCAUGUGGUUUAAUU